rnacentral:rRNA from 1 species
CUACCAUGCAAGUCGAGCGGAUGAAGGGAGCUUGCUCCUGGAUUCAGCGGCGGACNGUUGAGUAAUGCCUAGGAAUCUGCCUGGUAGUGGGGGAUAACGUCCGUGAAACGGGCGCUAAUACCGCAUACGUCCUGAGGGAGAAAGUGGGGGAUCUUCGGACCUCACGCUAUCAGAUGAGCCUAGGUCGGAUUAGCUAGUUGGUGGGGUAAAGGCCUACCAAGGCGACGAUCCGUAACUGGUCUGAGAGGAUGAUCAGUCACACUGGAACUGAGACACGGUCCAGACUCCUACGGGAGGCAGCANUGGGGAAUAUUGGACAAUGGGCGAAAGCCUGAUCCAGCCAUGCCGCGUGUGUGAAGAAGGUCUUCGGAUUGUAAAGCACUUUAAGUUGGGAGGAAGGGCAGUAAGUUAAUACCUUGCUGUUUUGACGUUACCAACAGAAUAAGCACCGGCUAACUUCGUGCCAGCAGCCGCGGUAAUACGAAGGGUGCAAGCGUUAAUCGGAAUUACUGGGCGUAAAGCGCGCGUAGGUGGUUCAGCAAGUUGGAUGUGAAAUCCCCGGGCUCAACCUGGGAACUGCAUCCAAAACUACUGAGCUAGAGUACGGUAGAAGGUGGUGGAAUUUCCUGUGUAGCGGUGAAAUGCGUAGAUAUAGGAAGGAACACCAGUGGCGAAGGCGACCACCUGGACUGAUACUGACACUGAGGUGCGAAAGCGUGGGGAGCAAACAGGAUUAGAUACCCCUGGUAGUCCACGCCGUAAACGAUGUCGACUAGCCGUUGGGAUCCUUGAGAUCUUAGUGGCGCAGCUAACGCGAUAAGUCGACCGCCUGGGGAGUACGGCCGCAAGGUUAAAACUCAAAUGAAUUGACGGGGGCCCGCACAAGCGGUGGAGCAUGUGGUUUAAUUAGAAGCAACGCGAAGAACCUUACCUGGCCUUGACAUGCUGAGAACUUUCCAGAGAUGGAUUGGUGCCUUCGGGAACUCAGACACAGGUGCUGCAUGGCUGUCGUCAGCUCGUGUCGUGAGAUGUUGGGUUAAGUCCCGUAACGAGCGCAACCCUUGUCCUUAGUUACCAGCACCUCGGGUGGGCACUCUAAGGAGACUGCCGGUGACAAACCGGAGGAAGGUGGGGAUGACGUCAAGUCAUCAUGGCCCUUACGGCCAGGGCUACACACGUGCUACAAUGGUCGGUACAAAGGGUUGCCAAGCCGCGAGGUGGAGCUAAUCCCAUAAAACCGAUCGUAGUCCGGAUCGCAGUCUGCAACUCGACUGCGUGAAGUCGGAAUCGCUAGUAAUCGUGAAUCAGAAUGUCACGGUGAAUACGUUCCCGGGCCUUGUAUCACACCGCCCGUCACACCAUGGGAGUGGGUUGCUCCAGAAGUAGCUAGUCUAACCGCCAAGGGGGAUCGGUUAUCCACGGAGUGAUUCAUGACCGGGGCGAAGUCGUAACAAAGGUAGCCGUAGGGGAACCUGCGGCUGGAUCACCUUCCUUU